CUCUAAUAUAUGCUCCAACUCAGUUUCAGAGCUAGAGAGAGAACUCGUGUUUUAUUUGAUAUCACAGUAAACAACGACUUGGAGGCAAGUCCACAGCCAUAAAUCAGCAUUUUUCUGAGUGCCGGGGAGGACGACAAACCUCUGUGUAAGAGCUCUGCACCACGAAUGGAAAUUACUCAGUGCUGACGCCUGAAAGGACACCAGCAGCCCUUGCGCUCUGUGCUGAAUUUUACUUCGAUUUCUACUUCAUCUACCAGGCUGUCUGCCUGGUGGGAGAGCAGUCUAUUACAAAGGGGAGGGUCCUGUUUGGGUCAAAAGAAUGCAUUUUUAGGAAUGCGUGUUUCAAGGCCAAGCCUGCUGGUGAUCUGUCCUUGCAGCCUCUGUUAUGUACUGAAAGAUUUGUUAAGAAGACAUGGAAAAGGGUGAACCAGGAUGGGAGAUGCGAUGAAAAGCCUAUUCGUUAUCUCAGCAACAUGAGACACAUCUCACUAGAUUGGUUUCCGUUCUAAAGAGCAAAACAAAAUCAUUCACUUCUUGCCUUUAAUGGUGGUGUUGAUGGAGACAGCCAACAAUUUCCUCUCCCCAUCGAUUUGGAUUAUGAAUUCUCAUCUGGGUACUGAGUCCAAUUUUUGUAAGACACAUUUAACCCAUGGGACAGUGGAUGUCAGACUGAACUGAGCUCUUCCUCACCGCUGUCCUCUGGUGCUCUGUGCUCCAGUUAGCUGCCUACAAUGGAUUUCAAAUUAAUUACAGCACCACGGAUCAACCUUUCCCAUUUUUUUUUUCUCCCACAUGCUGCCACGUGUCCAUGGACAGCCCACGUUCUCUGGUAAGCUUUCUGGCAGCCUUUGAGCCUCACGCUGAACACAUGAGAGCAUUUAGCGAGCUACAUUUCACUACAAAACGUGUUCCUGGGUAGCGCUCGCUCAUAAGCAUGUCAUUGAUGUUCCCCAAGCGCCAGCCUUGGCAGAUGUGUAAUGGGAGAGAGGCUGCUAACACUCCAGCUUCCCUCCAGGAUGCUGCUUGGGCUCAGGAGGGAGUGAUGCGGCACAUGUGUCAGCCUUGCAAAUGUGUGCUGCUGAAUGCUGGGUGGUCUGCCCUGAGAUGGGAAGAGCUGGGUCCCCAGGAUGAGAAAAGCCACUUGCUUGGCCUGGUGACCUGCUGAAACCUGGCACAGCUGUGGUGAGUGGGUUACGGCAGCUUUCUGAGGAAGGUGAGAUAAAAGGAGGGAGACUGCCAGCAUGGCUCCAUGACAGCUUCUGCUUCUGUGUGAGGUUGAUGAGCUAAAGAGAUCUGGGGAUGGAAGCCCUCAAGACAGUCCUGAUUGGGAGUAUCUCCUCCCACACUUCCAACAUGCUUGUGCCCAGCAGCCAUCACCUGGAGCACUGUGUCCAGAUGUGGAGUCCUCAAUUCAGGAGAGACAUGGACCUGUUGGAUUGCAUCCAGAGGAGGGUCACAGAAAUGCUCCCAUGGAUGGAACACCUCUCCUACAAGGACAGGCUGAGAGAGCUGGAUCUGUUCAGCAUGGAGAGGAGAAGGCUCUGGAGAGACCUGAGAGCUGCCUGUCAGUAUCUAAAGGGGGUCUGUAAGAACAGACAGACUCUUGACUGGGGUCUGCUGUGAUGGGACAAGGGGAAAUGGUUUCAAACUAAAAGAGAGGAGAGUUAGAUUGGAUAUAAGGAAAAAGUUUUUCAUGAUAACUGUGGUGAGGCACUGGCACAGGUUGCCCAGAGAGGUGGUGGAUGCUCCACCCUUGAAGACACUCAAGGUCAGACUGGACAAGGCUCUGGGCAUCUGAUGCAGCUGUGGGUGUCUGUUCAUUGCAGGAGAGUUGUGCCAGAUGGCCUUUAAGGGUUCUGCCCAACUCAAAUGAUGACUCCAUGAUUCUCCUCUUCUGGACCCUUUCCAGCCUGCCCACCACAGACCCUCCCUCCUUCUGCCCUUCCUCCUGGUUCCUGCAUCGCUGUUCUGUCUCUUACCUCACAUCCCUAAGGAUUUACCUUCCAGUCACAAAUAGAUCUCUACAGGAAGGGUGUAAACUGGCAUUUUCAGCAGUUAAUGGUUCGGACUACCGGGGGAG
ensembl:lncRNA